CCUUCUCCCGAACUCAAUGAAGUUAUAAAUACAAAACACAGCAGAACUUUUGAAAGGAAUAGCAGGCAUUUAUUCAGCCCAUGAAAUGUUUGAAGCACUGUUCUAUGCAUUUUGUACACAUUUAUUUUAAUCUUCAUGCUAACUUUAUUGCUGAAUGAAUCUGAGGGACUGAGUGGGUAACCGAUGUGCCCAAGGCCACUCGCUAAAGAGAUGGUAGCACUGGGAUUCUGGAUCAGGGCUCUCCAUUGCAGAUUGACAGCUACUUCACAAGCAUCACAAAAAUGAUGAUGACCAUCAUUUUUGUCUUACUGUAACUCCAACUUUUCUCCCAACUGGUUUCUAUUCAUUCCUCUCUACCUGUGACUGCCCGUACUACUUGUCUACUGCACAAAAAAUUGCCUGAGCUGAGUUUUUAGGACCCUGUUUGAUUUCUUAGAAUUUUUGCCAUAGAGCUUUAUGUGGGCUUUGCAUUUGAUAGAUGCUGUUUCUUUAUUGGCUGAGUUGAUGAGUAGUAUAAUGAUCUCAUUUACUCAACAGGGCCAUGUUACCUGGACAACAGUCUGUGGCUCUUCGUUACUGCUCCAAUCCUUUAGUGUGCUAGGUUAGAACUCUAUCAUGGCCAGCUUUUCCUUUUUCUUUCUGUAUUUGUUUAUUUAUGUAUUUACUUAUUUAUUUCCAGGUAGAGUGGCUGCGUUCACAUAGGCUCUCUCAGCAGCUUCAAAUGGAAAACUUUGAAGUAAGUGAACUUAAAAGAAGACUGAAAGCUCAGUGAGAUGUCUGGCGAUCCCUCGGGCAGCUUUGCUACACCGCUGUUGGUGGCGGAGCUGAUCCUGGGCUGUCAGGCUCGCCCCUCUAGGCUCCCGGCGCCCGGGCCUGGAGCAGUGGAGGGCUGCACUGGCGGCGGGCUGGACUCGCCACCAGGCUGCAGAGCAGUCCCCAGGUCUGCGCAGCCCCGCGGGGACUCAGCGCGCGGCGCCCAUGAUCCUGCAGCCCGCGAGGCCCCGCGAAGGACUUCUGAGCAGCCUUUUAAGCUGCCGGCUGCUUUCAAAAUGGGUCUUUGAAAGGGUGGGCUCCGGUGACUCUGCACUGGGGGACCGAGCUCCGCUUUUCAGGGAGGACCUGCUGGCGCACACGUGCCCGCCUCGGUGGCGCUCGCCUGCUUUUCCGAGAGAAUAAAAGGAAGUCAGCUCUG